rnacentral:rRNA from 1 species
UACGAAGGCCCCAAGCGUUAUCCGGAUUUAUUGGGUUUAAAGGGUGCGUAGGCGGAUUAUUAAGUCAGUGGUGAAAGCCCCAAGCUCAACUUGGGAACUGCCAUUGAUACUGAUGAUCUUGAGUACAUUUGAGGUGGGCGGAAUGUGUCAUGUAGCGGUGAAAUGCUUAGAUAUGACACAGAACACCGAUUGCGAAGGCAGCUCACUAAACUGUAACUGACGCUGAGGCACGAAAGCGUGGGGAGCAAACAGG